UGCGCAGGCGGAAUGAUUAGUCAGUGGUGAAAGCCCUCGGCUCAACCGGGGAACUGCCAUUGAUACUGUCAUUCUUGAGUACAGUUGUAGUGGGCGGAAUGUGUCAUGUAGCGGUGAAAUGCAUAGAGAUGACACAGAACACCGAUCGCGAAGGCAGCUCACUAAGCUGAAACUGACGCUCAGGCACGAAAGCGUGGGUAGCAAACAGGAUUAGAUACCCUGGUAGUCC
rnacentral:rRNA from 1 species